UACGUAGGUGGCGAGCGUUGUCCGGAUUUACUGGGCGUAAAGGGAGCGUAGGCGGACUUUUAAGUGAGAUGUGAAAUACCCGGGCUCAACUUGGGUGCUGCAUUUCAAACUGGAAGUCUAGAGUGCAGGAGAGGAGAAUGGAAUUCCUAGUGUAGCGGUGAAAUGCGUAGAGAUUAGGAAGAACACCAGUGGCGAAGGCGAUUCUCUGGACUGUAACUGACGCUGAGGCUCGAAAGCGUGGGGAGCAAACAGGAUUAGAUACCCCGGUA
rnacentral:rRNA from 1 species